rnacentral:rRNA from 1 species
AUUAGAUACCCUGGUAGUCCGCACGGUAAACGAUGGAUGCCCGCCGUUGGGUAUUUUUAUUCAGCGGCCAAGCGAAAGCGUUAAGCAUCCCACCUGGGGAGUACGCCGGCAACGGUGAAACUCAAAGGAAUUGACGGGGGCCCGCACAAGCGGAGGAACAUGUGGUUUAAUUCGAUGAUACGCGAGGAACCUUACCCGGGCUUGAAUUGCAGAUGACGGAUCCAGAGAUGGUGACUUCCUUCGGGACAUCUGUGAAGGUGCUGCAUGGUUGUCGUCAGCUCGUGCCGUGAGGUGUCGGGUUAAGUCCCGCAACGAGCGCAACCCUUGUCACUAGUUGCUACGAAAGGGCACUCUAGUGAGACUGCCGGUGACAAACCGGAGGAAGGUGGGGAUGACGUCAAGUCCUCAUGGCCCUUAUGGGUAGGGCUUCACACGUCAUACAAUGGUCGGAACAGAGGGCAGCGAAGCCGUGAGGCGGAGCCAAUCCCAGAAAACCGAUCGUAGUCCGGAUUGCAGUCUGCAACUCGACUGCAUGAAGUCGGAAUCGCUAGUAAUCGCGGAUCAGCAUGCCGCGGUGAAUACGUUCCCGGGUCUUGUACACACCGCCCGUCAAGCCAUGGAAGCCGGGAGUGCCUGAAGUAUGCAACCGCAAGGAGCGUCCUAAGGUAAAACCGGUGACUGGGGCUAAGUCGUAACAAGGUAAC